CUAUCACAAUUAAUAUUGUUCAACUUAUUUUCGCCAUUUGAUAAGUAAUAGUACAGACUGGAACCACAAUAUUCAUUUUUUCUUAUACACCAGUCAUUUUGACUGGUGCUGGUAGAAAUAGGUAUAUAUAAAUAGCUGGUAAAUCUAGUGUUAACACGGGGUCGUUUCCAUACUAGGCGGUACAGGAUAGUCCCGAUCUUCUGAACAGACUUGAAUGAACUAAAAACAUCCGUAGCCGAUCGAGUCAACUAGAAAAAUAAGCUAGCGGCGGUCGCCGUUGGCCCCAUUUUUCUUGUUGAAAAAAACCGGCGUCGACAUUUUCAAAUAUGGCGUCGACCGCCGAAAUUUUUGACGACAGAAGUGUCUGUCUCCUGGUCUGCUAUACAUUUUCUGUAGGCGUUAAGAUCAACACUGAAAAAUAUUUCGACAUAAAAAAGCGCAAAAUAAAAAAAAUACUAAGUCAGCGCUAUUAUCUUAAGUCACCAAAGUGAAGUUGUGUACUCUAGCUUCUUCUUCUUCUUGGAUGGCACUACCGUUCCAGUGAAACUUUUGCCUUCUCAACGCAGCAUUACUUGCGUCAUUUUUAUUAGUAGUGCUUGGUUGAGAUUUCUAUGCCGAAUAACACGCCUUGAAUGUACUCUGGAGGGGCAAGCUCUAGAAUACGCGUGACCACAGUGCAAGCCGGAAGAAUUUUCUUUCACGAAAAAUCCCCCGACCAGAACGGGAAUCGAACCCGAACCCCCGGCAUGAUAGUGUGGGACGCUAACCACUCGGCCACGGGAGCACGUACUCUAGCGCCGAAUCGUAAUGAAAAUAUUCGGUGGCGGAGUUGCGCCGUGGCGAAUUUUCGUUCGGCAAUGAAACGAUUGCGAUGAGUUGUGAUGAUAUUGAAAGUGGAAUACAGCUGGAAUCCGACGAAUGCAUGGAAAUUGAGGUAGGUUCAGUUUGUAUUAAUCUAUGACUUCAGUAAAAAUUUUAUUACGACAAAAUUAAUUCAUAAUAAAAAUUGCGCUUUUUUCUGUGUGGCAUUCAUACCCCUGAGUUCACUUUUUAAAAACAUGAAUAGAAACUAUUGCUACAUGUUCUUUAAAUGUAUUAUUAAAAGAGCUUCUGAAUGUUUCCACCAGAACCCAAUGAUAAAUGGGUCUGAAAAGUUGAACGAAUUGGUAUGAAAAUAUGGAGAAAUUUGCGUUAGUGAUACUAAAGCCUAUGAUCAUAACGCGAAAUCCAACAGUCACAUAAUUUCCGUUGUUUCCUAUUAUAAGAAGAGAUGUCGACCAGGAAUAUCAUUUCAUAAUCAAAAGGGAUGAAACACGGUACGUGGAAUGGAUUCAACGGAUAAAAAUUGAAAAUCAUCCGGCUAAGCAGUUUAAAUUUCAGCAUGUCGAUAUUCUACUAAGUAAUUAUCAUCAAUUUUCACGUAUUAUUUUUUUCAGAAACAAAACGUUUAACUAAACUAUUAAUUUGUAUGGCUCGAACCUUGGCGAUGGUAAUUGAGGACAGGUUAAAAACUCUCAAGCCAUUAUUGUUCACCUGUUCAACACAAACGAGCAGCAAUUCAUUUAAUCCUCGACGACCAAACGAUUUUCUCCGGCAGCGAAAUUGAAAAUAUCGACAGAUCAAGAAAUCAUGUCUAUAUAUUUUUUAUCUGCUUCUAUAGAAAUUUCCCACCCUAAUUAAAAUAAACAUUAGAGAAAAUCAAUUUGAGUAUUUUAUGCGUCUGAAUAAACCACAAAAACGUAAACAUCGAUUAAAUUUUCUUCUACGCUUCAUCUGAUUCGCUACUCAAAAGUGUCGUUUGACUGACCGAUGAAAAAACACUUUCGUACGAAAACGAGGAUAGGGCAAUUCGUUCGAACGAACGAUGUUCGAAUGUUCGAACGGAUAGAUUUCUUUCGUACGAAACCAAGGAUACGAAUGAGGCAUUCUUUCGAACGUUUUGUGUUCGUUCGAAAACAAGAAUAAGGGUGUUUAUUUUUUUGGUUCGUUAAGUUAGUGUAUAGAAUAAUAUUAGGUGAUUAAUAGCAGUAAUAGACGAUAAUAUCUACUGUUUGCGCCACGCGGAGCGAGCGCAUACGUGUUGCGACAUGACCUGUCAUUCCAUUGCAUCACCCAGAGACGUGCGAAAGUGAGAUGAAAGCAGUAUCAACACAACAAACGAAUAUCACCCGAGCUAUCCGAGCGAAGCCGACAGGACAAACACCCCACCAAUUUCAGGGAGUAUAAAAGUAGCAGAGCAGCAUAUGAUCCAUCUUUAUAAGUUUUUAUUCACCACGUGUAUUUAGAAACCAUUAGAGAAAGUUAUAGUGAAAAUUUGGACUUUGAAAACUAGUGUCGUUUUUUCCUACAGUAAAUUUAGUCAGACCCUUUCCAACCGGAGUACUAUAAGGAUUGAGAAAUGUGUACUGUGAAGAUGGCAUCCUCUUAUAAAAUUAAUUUAGAGAUGUGUUUAGAAGCGGUUAACAGUUUAAUUUCAACCAAGUGCCUAGAAUAUGAUUUCAAGUUAAAUUUUAAGAACAUGCAAGUAAUUUUGGAGCGUAUGGGAUUAGAUAAAACGAACUAUCCUAGUAUGAAGGUAAUCAAAAGCCUUCUAAUGAAACAUCGAAAAUCCGUAAAACGGUUUGCUCCUGAGAUUACUUUGCAGAAUUGUUGGGAUGCAGCGAAUGAUUUGAUCGCUAGAGAAGAGUUGGAUGAGCUAUUCGAAUUGAAUUCUAAGAAUCUGAAAGAAAUUCUUGUAGAAAUGGGAUUAAACGAAAAAUGCGCACCUAACUUAAAAAAAGUUAGGAAUAACUUCGCUUGUAAUCCAACAUAUAAGAAGUAUCGUGCAGAACGAAAGGUGAGAACCCUUAUAAUUGUUAUAAGCUUCCUGAAAUUAAUAAAACUAUUUUGAAAUUUUCAAUGUGAAAUCAUUUCCGCAGAAUAUUGAACAUUCAAUUGCCGCUGAAAGUCAUAACGUAAGUGUAAAAUAUCAAAUUGCUUUGAAAUAGUCACGCCAUACAGUAACUUCAAAUUUUUAUAGAUCGAUAAUUUCAAAGAAUGUUCUUUUGAGAAUGAAAGUGCCUGCUUGCCACAAGACUGCGUUGGAGUUCAUGAACAGCUUUUAUUAAAUAAAACAGAUCAUAUGUCCGAAACAAACUCAUCUCCUUCACGUGUCGAAACAAGAACAUUAUCAUUUGUAUCAUUUGACACAAACGAUUUCGAGGAAUUGGCCGACUCUCAAAGUACUACUUUUGACGGCGUUGAUAAUACGGGAAAAGAUAACGAACAACCUCCAUUCGGAUUUUUAUUGAAAGGAACAGAUUUAUCGCGUGUCGAAAUAAAAUCAUUAUCCGUCGAGUUUCCUGCAAAAGUAUGUAAGAAAGGAAUGGAACUUAAUGCUCCAGAAAUUGAAUGUCGCAUUUUUGAAACAUCAGUAAGUCAAAUGCAAGAGAGAUCAACGAACGACAUGCAAGACUCGAUUGUUUCAUUUGAUACCAAUGAUCUUGAAGGAUCGACCAAAUCACAAGAUACUACUUAUAGCAGUGAUGUAGA